AGAGCGAACGCUGGCGGCAGGCCUAACACAUGCAAGUCGAGCGCCCCGCAAGGGGAGCGGCAGACGGGAGAGUAACACGUGGGAACGUACCCUUUGGUUCGGAACAACACAGGGAAACUUGUGCUAAUACCGGAUAAGCCCUUACGGGGAAAGAUUUAUCGCCAAAGGAUCGGCCCGCGUCUGAUUAGCUUGUUGGUGAGGUAACGGCUCACCAAGGCUACGAUCAGUAGCUGGUCUGAGAGGAUGAUCAGCCUCACUGGGACUGAGACACGGCCCAGACUCCUACGGGAGGCAGCAGUGGGGAAUAUUGGACAAUGGGCGCAAGCCUGAUCCAGCCAUGCCGCGUGGAUGAUGAAGGCCCUAGGGUUGUAAAGUCCUUUCGACGGGGAAGAUAAUGACGGUACCCGUAGAAGAGCCCGGCUAACUUCGCGCCAGCAGCCGC
rnacentral:rRNA from 1 species